rnacentral:rRNA from 1 species
AAUCUUCGGCAAUGGGCGCAAGCCUGACCGAGCGACGCCGCGUGUGCGAUGAAGGCCUUCGGGUUGUAAAGUACUUUUGGCAGAGAAGAAAAGGUAUCUCCUAAUACGAGAUACUGCUGACGGUAUCUGCAGAAUAAGCACCGGCUAACUACGUGCCAGCAGCCGCGGUAAUACGUAGGGUGCAAGCGUUAAUCGGAAUUACUGGGCGUAAAGCGUGUGUAGGCGGUUCGGAAAGAAAGAUGUGAAAUCCCAGGGCUCAACCUUGGAACUGCAUUUUUAACUGCCGAGCUAGAGUAUGUCAGAGGGGGGUAGAAUUCCACGUGUAGCAGUGAAAUGCGUAGAUAUGUGGAGGAAUACCGAUGGCGAAGGCAGCCCCCUGGGAUAAUACUGACGCUCAGACACGAAAGCGUGGGGAGCAAACAGG